CUUUCGAUGGUGUAUGGUUAAAAUUGAUGUAAUAUUUUUUCAAUGCCCUGGCUUCAUGUACAACUGAGCACCUCCAGAGAAAGUUCGAAAAUAUCCAAAACUUAUUGGGGAACAUACCAAGAUCAAAAACAGAAAACAUUGAGAGGACAUCCGUCUCUAUGUCCUAAUGAAAAGGAUUCUUAGCAAAUCAAUUUUCCUUGCAAAUAUUAUCAAAAAAACAACCGGAACGAAUAUCUGUGUCAGGAUGUAUGUAGUUGAAACGCCCUGAUACCAAUUUCAUACGAAGAAAAACCCAAUGUGUUUACUUGAUUCUGAGAUGCAAAUUCUCCACCCAAAAUUCCCUAUCCAUAUUCCAGCCUACCACAGGCUCCAAAGCAUAAUGUAAAACAUGAUUUAGGGGUCUUUGUUAACAUCUAUUUUUCUGUUCCAAUCAAAGAUCGAGUCCUUAUGCCCAACGAGAUUGAUCUCGGUCUUAUCUGACCAUAGUGCGGCCGCCCAAAAGCCAUUGAAGUGUCUAGGCGGGAUUUGUCAGAGGCUAGAUGCGUUUAAACAUCCCUUGAAUAUUGCAAAGGGGUCGUUCUCGGCCUACUAAUAUGAAGGCCAGGCUUGAAGGGUUGAUGAAUGGCCUUUGAAAAUUCUUGGGUGGGACGAUUGUCCAAGAGGUAUUAAGGUCAUUCAAAAGUUGUUUGGGGGGAGAUACUAGGAUUUGUUUGUACAUCUCUCACGUUCAUCACAAUAAGCUAAACUUUCGGCAAAAGCACAUAAAAGCACUUGAACAUGGCUUUAAAUUCCGAUCCUUCUUUGCAGCCAGCUACAAUCAGUUAGGGUUUUUUAACUUUCUAUCCCACAUGUGAGGCUCAUAAAAGCAAGAUAAACCUGGCUUCAAUGACAUACGUAGCUUUAUGGACAUUUUUGCAUGGAGUUGAUCAGGUAGAUAAAGGCAAGUAGCUUCUUUCCCUAAUGCAACUAGUGCAGAGACGAGUCCGGGUGCACUUAAGUCUUUCACUCGAUUUUGGAGAAAUCACCUGGGUUCGAGUCUUUUAUUGGACUCAAGUAAGACAAAAAUACUCAUCUUGUUUUUUUAUUCAGUAAAAGAAGGCUAAUCAAAUCAUCAUUCAAGGUCUGCUUUUUUUCAUGGUCAAUAGGGCAUGUCAAGUGAAGGAAAUUCCAGGAAAAUGUGGUCCGGCACCCUAAUUUUGGGCAUUUUGGGGAGGGAGAACUGAGGCAAACAUCACAAUCAAUUCACAUCAUCCGCCAAUUGAAUAUUCAAUAAUCGAGUGAUUUUGAGUGAGGUGUUCAUUUUGUUGGGUUUUAAAACACAUGUUUUGUGUAAAGCAGUGAACGCACUAUCAAAUUGGCACAACAGGCACCUUUAACCUACAGCUGACUGAUGACGUCAUCUUAAAAAGGAAAGUGAACAAUGUCGCCUAAGCCAGUUAGUUAUUACUGUUUAGUGGUUUUGGGCCGUCGUGAUCAAAACUCCAAAGAAUAAUCCUCAAUGGAAUCUAUGGAUUGAAGCUGUUCUGCAAUCACACUCAACGUUCAAGAGUUCUGGAAGUAUGGAUGAAUCGCAUCCCCGGGAGUCUCUUACAAUCAGUGGACUCUGGCAAAUUUUAUUCAGAGGCCAUUGCAGUGGCCAACUCUUCUUAAAGAUGAUGUUCACCCAACCUUUUAGCCGUCCGCUUUUCCGGAUUGGCCGAGGAUAGGGAUCUCCUUCCCAAAUUCCAAUUUGAUUUCCAGAGCAGCCGCUCUACCACCUCGGCAGUUACUCUCCUCUAUGAAAUUGUCCAAUCUUUGUGGAUCUCUCCUCAAGCACCAUCAACCCAGCUUUCCUCCACCAACCAUCUCAAAUCAUCAAUAGUCAAAGCUAGGGCCAGGAUCGAAAACAUUUCCAAUAGACUUCCCAUCAAGAAUCUUCCCUCUCUAGUAGUUCUUCAACUCUUCCGGACCUACAUCAACCCAAUUUUCCUCUACUGACUUCCGCCCAAUCCGUCCUCAAAUCCGCCGAUGCCACCUUCACCAAAUUCCUCAAACGAUUUCUGUGCGUUCCCCAAUAUGCCAAAAAUGCAUGGAGGUAUUUUUACAGCCAAAAAUCGGGCUGGUCAGGCUAGUGUCCCAGGGUUGGGAACCUGACCUUUCCGGAGGUGAUGUCCAGACUCAAAUUGUCCUUCUUGGUCAAGGACGUACUAACACCCUACUGCCCUUGGCCUGACAUCCCUUCGGAAUAUUGGCAGUCACGCACGUUUUUCCGGCUCCGGUCCAAAUGUCAUCAACGGCGGGAGCAGAAACAGGAUCUGUUCAAUCUGACCCACCCAAUCUUCUGCAGUAAUCAAGAUUUCAUCACUUGUCUCUACCCAACUGUUUAUGUACUGGCUGUGAUUCUCCUCUUCACUUUUUUUUCAUGUAGACUAAGCUCGAAGUAUGGAACCCUCCUAACAGGGGAUAUGGGCCAUAUAGAGAAAGUGCAAAGAAGAAUCCCCAAGUGGCACAAUUCUUAACCGGACAGAAUAUCUUCACUCUCUUCAAACAUUAAAAGAGAGAUGUAUUUUCUUCGACUUCCCUCUUAUGUUGAAGGUGUGCUUAAGACUGUUAACAAUAUCACUUCUUUGGGAUCACCAAUCUUUGCGAUCACUUUUCUUAGCUCGUGAAGGAUCAGAUUUGAUGAAGACGCGCUAAUUAGAAAAUGGGCCUUUUUUGGAAUUAAAUGUCAAAUCUCGUA